AUGAAAGUGUCUGCACAGUGGCAUAUAGUGUUAUUAUUAUUCAGUGUGGUUGAUGUGAAAGUGUCUGCACAGUGGCAUAUAGUGUUAUUAUUAUUCAGUGUGGUUGAUGUGAAAGCCAUGCUCUGGCACUGUGAGAGUGAGUACUGGGUCGGUAGCUGGGGUCAGGCUGGGUGUCUGGGCCAGGCUAUGUUAAACCAACAGAGCCGGGCGGCAGGACCGAUGCCAGCCCUGCCACCACUGGCCAGGGAGUUUGAAGGGCGGCUUCCUGACAUCUCUUGGGAUGCAGCGACUAAACAUGAGACUGGGAUAACAAAGAAACAAAACUAUAGACAGCAGGCUCUGAUGGAGAAUAGAGGACUCCAACCCACGUUGUCUUGUCUCUCCAUCAGUUGGGAGUUUGCACAGUCUGUCAUCCAAGAGGCAAGAACACCAAAUAGUGUCAUGACUAAUCAAAUCAAGUCAAAUGUAUUUAUAUAGCCCUUCGUACAUCAGCUGAUAUCUCAAAGUGCUGUACAGACACCCAGCCUAAAACCCCAAACAGCAAGCAAUGCAGGUGUAGAAACACGGUGGCUAGGAAAAACUCCCUAGAAAGGCCAAAACCUAGGAAGAAACCUAGAGAGGAACCAGGCUAUGAGGGGUGGCCAGUCUUCUUCUGGCUGUGCCGGGUGGAGAUUAUUACAGAACAUGGCCAAGAUGUUCAAAUGUUCAUAAAUGACCAGCAUGGUCAAAUAAUAAUAAUAAUCACAGUAGUUGUCGAGGUUGCAACAGGUCAGCACCUCAGGACUAAAUGUCAGUUGCCUUUUCAUAACCAAUCAUUAAAAGUAUCUCUACCACUCCUGCUGUCUCUAGAGAGUUGAAAACAGCAGGUCUGGGACAGGUAGCACGUCCGGUGAACAGGUCAGGAUUCCAUAGCCGCAGGCAGAACAGUUGAAACUGGAGCAGCAGCACGGCCAGGUGGACUGGGGACAGCAAGCAGUCAUCAUACCAGGUAGUCCUGAGGCAUGGUCCUAGAGCUCAAGAAAGAGAGAAAGAGAGAGCAUACUUAAAUUCACACAGGACACCGGAUAAGACAGGAAAAGUACUCUAGAUAUAACAAACUGAUCCUAGCCCCCCGACACAAACUACUGCAGCAUAAAUACUGGAGGCUGAGACAGGAGGGGUCAGGAGACACUGUGGCCCCAUCCGAUGAUACCCCCGGACAGGGCCAAACAGGAAGGAUAUAACCCCACCCACUAGACAUGACAUGUUGUUCAACAGAUAUUCAGAGCGUUGCUGCAGAUAUAAAUAUGGCAACAUUCUAAAGGUUCCAUGUUCUAUCUGCAACAUUCUAAAGGUCUGUGCACCAUCAGACACAUUCUAAAGGUUCCAUGUUCUAUUAGACACAUUCUAAAG
rnacentral:lncRNA from 1 species